rnacentral:rRNA from 1 species
GAAACACGGACCAAGGAGUCUAGCAUGUGCGCGAGUCAUUGGGAUUAAUUAAACCUAAAGGCGCAAUGAAAGUAAAGGUUCGCCUCGCGCGAACCGAGGGAGGAUGGGCGCGUAAUUAGGCGCGCCCCGCACUCCCGGGGCGUCUCGUUCUCAUCGCGAGGAGAGGCGCACCCAGAGCGUACACGCUGGGACCCGAAAGAUGGUGAACUAUGCUUGGUCAGGACGAAGUCAGGGGAAACCCUGAUGGAGGUCCGUAGCGAUUCUGACGUGCAAAUCGAUCGUCGGAACUGAGUAUAGGAGCGAAAGACUAAUCGAACCAUCUAGUAGCUGG